GGAUGGUAGAGAGCAGUCUUCAGCCUGAGACCCGUCCCUAGGGACAUGGAUGAAGCUGGAAACCAUCAUUCUCAGCAAACUAUCACAAGGACAGAAAACCAAACAUCACAUGUUCCCACUCACAGGUGGGAAUUGAACAAUGAGAACACUUGGACAUAAGGUGGGUAACAUCACACUGGGGCUUUUCAGGGAAUGGGGAGCUAUGGGAGGGAUAGCAUUAGGAGAAAUACCUAAUGUAAAUGACGGGUUGAUGGGUGCAGCAAACAAACAUGGCACAUGUAUACCUAUGUAACAAACCUGCACGUUGUGCACAUGUACCCUAGAACUUAAAGUAUAAUUUAAAAAAUAAAUAAAGAGGUUUAAUUUGGUAAGAAAGCUUAAAUAGAAAUAAUUUCAUAUGAGAAGGAAUCUUGCAUGGUAAAUUUAGUCCUAGAGUGAAAUGAAUGGUUCUUUAAGAAAGAUGGAUGCUCAGGACCAACCAGAAAGUCCAAGGAUAUCAUGAACGGUCUGCAUAAGCCACAAUAGGAUGAUUUAUUAAAGAAACAAACAAAAAAACAACUUGUACAUGACCAAGUAAAUGGAAAUUAGGAUAGCCUUUCUAGAGAUUGGGUUUGAUGUUAAAAAAAAAAGCACUUAUGCACUAAAGAAUUGGUCAGAGUAAUGAAAUUUUUAAGGGGUUGAUUUUAUUCUCAAUAAAUUAU
rnacentral:lncRNA from 1 species